rnacentral:rRNA from 1 species
AUUGAACGCUGGCGGCAUGCUUUACACAUGCAAGUCGAACGGUAACAGGCCUUCGGGCGCUGACGAGUGGCGAACGGGUGAGUAAUGCAUCGGAACGUGCCCAGUCGUGGGGGAUAACUAUCCGAAAGGAUAGCUAAUACCGCAUACGAUCUGCGGAUGAAAGCGGGGGACCUUCGAGCCUCGCGCGAUUGGAGCGGCCGAUGUCAGAUUAGGUAGUUGGUGGGGUAAAGGCUCACCAAGCCAACGAUCUGUAGCUGGUCUGAGAGGACGACCAGCCAAACUGGGACUGGGACACGGCCCAGACUCCUACGGGAGGCAGCAGUGGGGAAUUUUGGACAAUGGGCGCAAGCCUGAUCCAGCAAUGCCGCGUGCAGGAAGAAGGCCUUCGGGUUGUAAACUGCUUUUGUACGGAACGAAACGGCCCUGGUUAAUACCUGGGGCUAAUGACGGUACCGUAAGAAUAAGCACCGGCUAACUACGUGCCAGCCGCCGCAGUAAUAC